UACGUAGGGGGCGAGCGUUGUCCGGAUUAUUGGGCGUAAAGAGCGUGUAGGCGGUUCGGUAAGUCUGUCGUGAAACCUGAGGCUCAACCUCGGGCGUUGCGAUGGAUACUGCCGGGCUAGAGGAUGGUAGAGGCGAGUGGAAUUCCCGGUGUAGCGGUGAAAUGCGCAGAUAUCAGGAGGAACACCAGCGGCGAAGGCGGCGCCUCUGGGCCGGUACUGACGCUGAGGAGCGAAAGCGUGGGUAGCAAACAGG
rnacentral:rRNA from 1 species